rnacentral:tRNA from 1 species
GGGGAUUUAGCUCAGCGGUAGAGCGCUUGCCUAGCAAGCGCAAGGCCCUGGGUUCGAUCCCCUGCUCCG